GAUGAACGCUAGCGGCAGGCUUAACACAUGCAAGUCGAGGGGCAGCAUAAAUAGUAGCAAUACUAUUGGUGGCGACCGGCGGACGGGUGCGUAACGCGUAUACAACCUUCCCUAAACAGGGGGAUAAUCUGGAGAAAUUCGGUCUAAUACCCCAUAACAUCAGAGCAGGCAUCUGUUUUGCUUAAAAUUUCCGGAGGUUUAGGAUGGGUAUGCGUAGAAUUAGCUAGUUGGUGAGGUAACGGCUCACCAAGGUGACGAUGCUUAGGGGGACUGAGAGGUUAACCCCCCACACGAGUACUGAGACACGGACCAGACGCCUACGGGAGGGAGCAGUGAGGAAUAUUGGUCAAUGGGCGGAAGCCUGAACCAGCCAUGCCGCGUGCAGGAUGACGGCUCUAUGAGUUGUAAACUGCUUUUGUACGAGGGUAAAGUGGGCUACGUGUAGCCUUUUGAAAGUAUCGUACGAAUAAGGAUCGGCUAACUCCGUGCCAGCCGCCGCGGUAA
rnacentral:rRNA from 1 species